rnacentral:rRNA from 1 species
GACGAUAAGACCCUAAAAGUUUUAGCUUAAUAGGAGUUAUAUUAUUUAUAUUAUACGUUAAAUUUUAUUUGUUUUAUCUGGGGCAGAUUUUUUAUAAAAAUUAAGAUUUUUUAAAACAAGAUAUUGAUUUUUAGGUCCUUAAUAUUAGGAUAAUUAGAUUAAAUUACUUUAGGGGUAACAGCGUAAUAAUUUUGGGGAGACCUUAUCUAUAAAAUUGAUUACGACCUCGAUGUUGAAUUAAAAUAUUUUUAUAAAGCAGCAUUUAUAUAAAAAGGUUUGUUCAACCUAUAAAGUUUUACAUGAUUUGAGU